rnacentral:lncRNA from 1 species
UGAAUAAUAAUAAUAAUAAUAAUAAUAAUAAUAAUAAUAAUAAUAAUAAUAAUAAUAAUAAUAAUAAUAAUAAUAAUAAUAAUAAUAAUAAUAAAGGAAGAAAAAUAGUAACAAGAAGACCAGAACCUCUUCCUUCUUCUUCUUCGUAUACACCGCCGCCAACAACCAUUUCCUCUUCCUUCUUCUCGCCUCGACCACGAUCAUUACAAUGGUUGUCUUAGAAAACUGAGACCACAUUUGUGAUCAUUGUAAUCUCCUCUUUCAUUCUCAACCUAAAUCGUAAAUUGAAACAUCUUAUUUCUCUUUGUCAAAAAUCACACCUCCAUCUUUGGAUCAAGAUUUCAGCCACCACGACUAUCACAAACGAAAACUAAGACCAUAUUUGGACUCCAUGAAACACCCUCUUCUGUUACCUAUGCUCGAAAUCGCCAAUCGUUACGUUUUAAAAAAUGGGUUUCCACCAUUGUCGCGGCUGUGUUGCCAAACUCCGGCCAACA